AGAAACCAACUGGGAUUCCCUUAGUAACGGCGAGCGAACAGGGAAGCGUCCAUCGCCGAACCCCACGUCGCUGCGGCGUCGGGAAUGUGGCGUUAGGGAGGGAGCGUUCGCGAGUUCYGAGCGUGCAGCAAGUCCCCUUGACUGGGGCUGUUUUCCAGGGAGGGUGUCAGGCCCGUGGUUGCCUCCUCGUGCUCGUGAAGCUGCCUCCCCAGAGUCGGGUUGCUUGGGAGUGCAGCCCCAAGAGGGUGGUAGACUCCAUCUAAGACUAAAUACGGCCGCGAGACCGAUAGCGAACAAGUACCGUGAGGGAAAGUUGAAAAGGACUUGAAGAGAGAGUUCAAGAGUGCGUGAAACUGCUCGGAGGCAAACGGGUGGGCCCUCGAACGGUCCUCGCCCGAUGGUUCGGUCGGAGAGGCGCGAGCCCGUUGGCGAGGCGGGUUCCGUAAAGGACCCCUCCGCUUUCGUGGCGCUCGAGUCUUCCGGUGCAUUCCAUCCGGUAUGGACGUCGCAGCCGGUUGGGCGUGGUCAGCCUGAAGAGCGGGCUACGGCAGGUGGCAGUGGAGUCUCCCCGCUGUGUCUAGCCGGCUCGUUCGUGGCGUGAUCCCCGACCGAGGAUGACGUCUUCCUCUUUGGGAGAUUUGCCGUGCUCUCGCCUCUGCGAGCGGGAUUUCCCGCGGUGAGCGUACGCGGCUGGCGACAUCGGUCACCCACCCGACCCGUCUUGAAACACGGACCAAGGAGUCUAACAUGUGCGCGAGUCAGUGGGACUCGAACAAGCCCACGGGCAGAACGAAAGCGAUCGGUCGGGAUCCGCACUGCUCGCAGUGUGGCGCACCGACGGCCCGACGCCUGUAUAGGCGAUCGGAGCGUGAGCGUACACGUUGGGACCCGAAAGACGGUGAACUAUUCCCGGGUAGGAUGAAGCCGGGGGAAACUCCGGUGGAGGUCCGCAGCGGUUCUGACGUGCAAUUCGAUCGUCGAACCCGGGUAUAGGGGCGAAAG
rnacentral:rRNA from 1 species